rnacentral:rRNA from 1 species
GACGAACGCUGGCGGCGCGCUUAACACAUGCAAGUCGAGCGAGAACCAGCCCUUCGGGACUGGGGACAGCGGCGAACGGGUGAGUAACACGUGGGUAAUCUGCCCUCGGCACCGGAAUAGCCCGGGGAAACCCGGAUUAAUGCCGGAUGGCCUCCCUGCCCCUCGGGGCGGCGAGAAAAGGUAGCUUCGGCCUCCGGCCGAGGAUGAGCCCGCGGCCGAUUAGCUUGUUGGUGAGGUAACGGCUCACCAAGGCGACGAUCGGUAGCUGGUCUGAGAGGACGAUCAGCCACACUGGGACUGAGACACGGCCCAGACUCCUACGGGAGGCAGCAGUGGGGAAUCUUGCGCAAUGGGCGAAAGCCUGACGCAGCGACGCCGCGUGCGGGAAGAAGGCCUUCGGGUUGUAAACCGCUUUCAGGAGGGACGAAGCCACUCGGGUUAAUAGCCCAGAGGGUGACGGUACCUCCAGAAGAAGCCCCGGCUAACUACGUGCCAGCCGCCGCCGUAAAAC